CCUAAWMAUGCAGUCGACGCGUUGGCCCAAUUGAUUGAUGGUGCUUGCACCUGAUUGAUUUUGGWYGCCARCGAGUGGCGGACGGGUGAGUAACACKUAGGUAACCUGCCCAGAAGCGGGGGACAACAUUUGGAAACAGAUGCUAAUACCGCAUAACAACGUUGUUCGCAUGAACAACGCUUAAAAGAUGGCUUCUCGCUAUCACUUCUGGAUGGACCUGCGGUGCAUUAGCUUGUUGGUGGGGUAAYGGCCUACCAAGGCGAUGAUGCAUAGCCGAGUUGAGAGACUGAUCGGCCACAAUGGGACUGAGACACGGCCCAUACUCCUACGGGAGGCAGCAGUAGGGAAUCUUCCACAAUGGGCGCAAGCCUGAUGGAGCAACACCGCGUGAGUGAAGAAGGGUUUCGGCUCGUAAAGCUCUGUUGUUAAAGAAGAACACGUAUGAGAGUAACUGUUCAUACGUUGACGGUAUUUAACCAGAAAGUCACGGCUAACUACGUGCCAGCAGCCGCGGUAAUACGUAGGUGGCAAGCGUUAUCCGGAUUUAUUGGGCGUAAAGAGAGUGCAGGCGGUUUUCUAAGUCUGAUGUGAAAGCCUUCGGGCUUAACCCGGAGAAGUGCAUCGGAAACUGGAUAACUUGAGUGC
rnacentral:rRNA from 1 species